rnacentral:lncRNA from 1 species
AUGGGCAAAUGUUUGUUUAAUGACAAGUGGUUGGAGGACGAAAAGUAUCGGGGGUGGCUGAAGAAAACAGCCAGUAAUCAUGAAGCGAGGUGUGCUUUAUGUAAAAAGACGAUAAAGCUGGGGACAAUGGGCCACAUAGCGCUCGAUUCACACAUGAAAGCAGAGAAGCACAAGAAGUGUGUGUCGUCGCAAGCAAGUAGUUUGCCCAUAAGUAUGUUCUCAUCGAGCACUUCGACCUCUCAGCCUUCCACUUCAAGCAAUGCCUUCGGCAGCUUUGCGAAUGUAGCUACACUUAAGGCCGAAAUACUGUGGGUAUUUCAAACCGUAAGCCGCCACAACUCGUACACCUCAAAUGAGGACAUCCACCUAGUUUUUCAAGCAAUGUUCCCUGACUCAGAGUGUGCGAGUACGUUCACAUGUGGAAGGGAUAAAACCGCAUAUUUAGCACGAUUUGGUGUUGCCCCAUACAUAAAGAAGGAACUCAUUUCACGGGCAAACAAGGAUGCUUUCAUCAUAAUGUUCGAUGAGUCCAUGAACACAACAACGAAAACUAAACAGUUGGACUUGCACGUCAGAUGUUGGUCAACUGACGAGACCGGGACCCCGAUUGUCAGGUCUCGCUAUCUGGGUUCUCAGUUUUUGGGCCACUCAACGGCAGAAGACUUGCUGGAACAUUUUAAGGAGGGCACCAAGGAACUUAAUUUACGGAACUUGCUUUCUGUAUCAAUGGAUGGACCUGCAGUCAAUUGGAAAUUCAUGGAUCUCCUACAAUUGGAACAUGGAGAACAGUUUGGGGGGAUUCAACUCCAAGUGGUAGGAAGCUGUGGUAUCCACACCCUACACAAUUCAUUUAAAGGUGGAUUUGAGGUGUGGCAUGUAGAAAAGGUGCUGAGAUCUCUCCACUGUCUCUUCAAUAAUGCCCCAGCAAGAAGAGAGGAUUUCACAUCUGCAACACUGUCGUCCACAUUCCCCUUAUCCUUCUGUGGCCAUCGCUGGCUCGAAAAUGUGCCUGCUGCAGAGAGGGCCAUUGAAAUUUGGCCCUCUAUUGAGAAGUUUGUUGACCAAGUGUCAACAAAGAAGGUGAAGAACCCAGGAAAUGCAUCAUUCGACACCCUCUCUGAGGCAAGAAAGGAUCCUCUUAUCUGUGCCAAACUCCACUUCUUUGUGUUCAUAGCAAGAGUCUUUCAACCAUUUCUGGAAAAAUAUCAAAAAGAUGCUCCCAUGAUGCCCUUCCUGUGGAAUGACUUGGAGGAUUUGAUAAGGAGCCUUCUCAAACGAUUCAUCAAGCGUGAUGCUUUGCCCUCGAGUCCAUAUAAGCUGGUGAGGCUCGAUGUCACAGACCAGAAGCUUUGGCUUGGCACAAAAGAUGUUGACAUUGGCAUGGGUGCAGCAGCUGUUAUCAAGGUGAUGUGAUUUCUCAACAGUUUGAGAAGGCCCUUUCCAAUGAAGCCAAAUCGCUGGAAUUUGCAAACUUCCAGCCCUCAGUGUCCAGGGUUGAUACAUUCCUGUCUCAGAAUCUCAGUUCCUACACUGAUCUGUGGAACUUCUGCAAGAAGUUACUACUCCUCUCACAUGGACAAGCUGAAGUGGAGCGGGGCUUCUCCAUCAACAAAGAAGUGGAGACGUGCAACAUGUCUGAGGAGACAGUAGUUAUUCAAAGGCUCAUCUGUGAUCAAGUGAAAGUUUGUGGGGGGGUGACAAAAGUGCCUCUUACAAAAGAGCUAAUCAGUUACUGUGCAUCAGCACGGAGCCGUUACCGGGCACAUUUGGAAGAGGAAAAAAAGAAGAGAGAGACCGAAGAAAACUCCAAGAAAAGAAAGUAUGUCGAAGAGGACCUGAAAGAGCUAAAGCAAAAGAAAAAAUCAAUUCGAGAAAUUUGCAUAUCUUUGGAGAAUGAUGCAGAUAGAAUGGCAGAGCAAGCCGAAAGUUCAGGUGGUAGUAAAAUGGCCACAUUGAUCACAGAAUCCAAUUCUUUGAGGAGACGAGCUAAAGAUAAACAUAAAGAACUAAUUGAGUUGGAUGCAGAAAUUGAAAACAAGAUUGUAGAAUUGACAAAACUGUCAUGAGGGCUUUGAGUUUGAGAACUUAAAAGUUGAAGGUUUACAUGUACCUUUAGUUAUUUAUUUGGAUUAUUUGCUGAAUGUUACUGUCUGGGCCUAUAAAAUCAGUUCCGUUUUUGUUUGAUCAGCACUGUGGUUUUAUAGGGAAGUCCGAAGAUUUUUCUCUAUUAUUUGACAUCCCAUGUAAGCAUGACUGUUUUCAUGCUAUUCUGUUUGUAUACUGUUAUACAUGCAUAUCUUUGGAUUGCCAGAUUGGCAUUAAUCCCAUUGUUGACCAAGUUUGAUGUCUUCACAGCGCUAAAAGAAGUAGCUGAACAAAGCACUUUUAAAUAAAUUUCUGAUCCUGAUCUUUCCUACAUUUUUCUGACUGGAUCUUCAUUCAUUAGGUCUAUGCAUAGAUUAUUGAAUGUGCUUGCAUUUAUCUGUGUCUGAAAUGAUACAAAACACUAAUCAGACCCUGAACAACAUUUUCUUGGGGGAGAACCCCCAAACCCAGCUCAAGGCUAUUUGGCAGCCACAUUUACCCAUAAUUUAGAUCAAGUAUGACGAAUACUUUAACUUUUGUGUAUUUGUGGGCUUUUAUAAUGUACUGGGGCUGUCUUCCAUGUCAUUUUCAGACUGCUAUGAGGGGCCAGAAUUAAGAAAUUACCUGAAGUACCUUAAAGGCUGAUAGUUUAUACAUAGUCAACAAUGUAAGGGUUGUAAGGUCAAUCAGCACUUGGUAUAAACGUUUUCGCGUCCCUUUGACCUUUCUUGAGUGUGACUCUGUUGAGCUGUGCCACGCUAAUGCUUCGUGGUAAAGUCUUAAAUUUUCCUUUUAGAGGACUUAAAAAGGUCUUAAAAGUUAUUAAAUUUGCUGUAAAAAAAUGUGCAGAGACCCUGUCUAUCUGCUGAAGGUGAACCAAAAACAACUGAUAGCAGCUCUCAGUGAUAUGUGUCGGGUCCCCGCUAUAAUAGCAGCAACAUUCACAAUUGCUUACAGAACAAGCGGGAACCCAGUGUGCCUGUAGCUUUCUCUAUUUCAGUUUUAUCACGUGAUAGAAAGUCUAAGGGCUUCUCAAGCCGAAGGGCAAACUCAUCUAAUCUGCGGCCUAUUAUGCAUCAAAUUAAGAUUGAUAUGAAGACACCAAGCACUGCCAUCAAGUUAGCACUUUU